AGAAGAUGGCUGUCUGACCCCCAGCAACAGCCUCCAGUGACAGGUAGGCUUGGUGUGUGUGUGUGUGUGUGCUAGUGAGGAAGCGUGUGUGUAUGGACUCAGCAGUCUGUCUGUCUGUGUGUGUGUGGACUCAGCAGUCUCUGUGUGUGUGUCUCUGCUAGUGAGGAAGCUUGUGUGUGUGUGUGUAUGGACUCAGCAGUGUGUGUGUGUGUGUCUGUCUGCUAGUGAGGAACUUGUGUGUGUGUGUAUGGACUCAGCAGUCUGUGUGUGUGGAUUCAGCAGGUUGUGUGUCUCUGCGUGUGUAUGGACUCAGCAGUCUGUGUGUGUGUGUGGACUCAGCAGUCUGUGUGUGUGUGUGUGUGUAUGGACGCAGCAAUUUGUGUGUGUAUGGACUCAGCAGUCUGUGUGUGUGUAUGGACUCAGCAGUCUGUGUGUGUUUGUGUAUGGACUCAGCAGAGUGUGUGUGUUUGUGUAUGGACUCAGCAGAGUGUGUGUGUGUGGACUCAGCAGUCUUUGUGUGUGUAUGGACUCAGCAGUCUGUGUGUGUAUGGACUCAGCAGUCUGUGUGUAUAUGGACUCAGNNNNNNNNNNNNNNNNNNNNNNNNNNNNNNNNNNNNNNNNNNNNNNNNNNNNNNNNNNNNNNNNNNNNNNNNNNNNNNNNNNNNNNNNNNNNNNNNNNNNUGUACUCAGCAGUCUGUGUGUGUGUGUGGACUCAGCAGUCUGUAUGUGUAUGUGUAUGGACCCAGCAGUCUGUGUGUCUCUGUGUGUAUAUGGACUCAGCAGUCUGUGUGUGUGUGUUUGGACUCGGCAGUCUCUCUGUGUGUGUGCAUGGACUCAGCAGUCUGUCUGUGUGUGUAUGGACCCAGCAGUCUGUGUGUGUGUGUGUGUGUCUGUCUGCUAGUGAGGAAGUUUGUGUGUGUGUGUGUAUGGACUCAGCAGUCUGUGUGUGUGUGAAUGGACUCAGCAGUCUGUAUGUGUAUGUGUAUGGACUCAGCAGUCUGUAUGUGUGUGUAUGGACUCAGCAGUCUGUAUGUGUGUGUAUGGACUCAGCAGUCUGUGUGUGUGUAUGGACUCAGCAGUCUGUCUGUGUGUGUAUGGACUCAGCAGUCUGUGUGUGUGUGUCUGUCUGCUAGUGAGGAAGUUUGUGUGUGUGUAUGGACUCAGCAGCCUGUGUGUGUGUGUGUGUGUGUGUGUGUGAAUGGACUCAGCAGUCUGUAUGUGUAUGUGUAUGGACUCAGCAGUCUGUAUGUGUGUGUAUGGACUCAGCAGUCUGUCUGUGUGUGUGUGUGUAUGGAGUCAGCAGUCUGUGUGUGUGUGUGUGUGUGGACUCAGCAGUCUGUAUGUGUAUGUGUAUGGACCCAGCAGUCUGUGUGUCUCUGUGUGUAUAUGGACUCAGCAGUCUGUGUGUGUGUAUGGACUCAGCAGUCUGUGUGUGUGUGUUUGGACUCGGCAGUCUCUGUGUGUGUGUGUAUGAACUCAGCAGUCUGUCUGUGUGUGUAUGGACUCAGCAGUCUGUGUGUGUCUGUCUGCUAGUGAGGAAUUUUGUGUGUGUGUAUGGACUCAGCAGUCUGUCUUUGUGUAUGGACUCAGCAGUCUGUGUGUGUGUGUGUAUGGACUCAGCAGUCUGUGUGUGUGGACUCAGCAGUCUGUGUGUCUCUGUAUGGACUCUCAGCAGCCUGUGUGUGUGUGUGUAUGGACUCAUCAAUCUGUCUGUGUGUGUAUGGACUCAGCAGUCUGUGUGUGUGUGUAUGGACUCAGCAGUCUGUGUGUGUGUGUAUGGACUCAGCAGUCUGUGUGUGUGUGUUUGGACUCGGCAGUCUCUGUGUGUGUGUGUGUAUGGACUUAGCAGUCUGUCUGUGUGUGUAUGGACUCAGCAGUCUGUGUGUGUGUGUCUGUCUGCUAGUAAGGAAUUUUGUGUGUGUGUGUAUGGACUCAGCAGUCUGUCUUUGUGUAUGGACUCAGCAGUCUGUGUGUGUGUGUAUGGACUCAGCAGUCUGUGUGUGUGUACUCAGCAGUAUGUGUGUGUGUGGACUCAGCAGUCUGUGUGUCUCUGUAUGGACUCAGCAGCCUGUGUGUGUGUGUGUAUGGACUCAUCAAUCUGUCUGUGUGUGUAUGGACUCAGCAGUCUCUGUGUGUGUGUGUGUGUCUGUCUGCUAGUGAGGAAGUUUGUGUGUGUGUAUGGACUCAGCAGUCUGUAUGUGUGUGUGUAUGGAUUCAGCAGUCUGUGUGUAAGUAUGGACUCAGCAGUCUGUGUGUCUCUGUGUGUGUAUGGACUCAGCAGUCUCUGUGGGUGUGUAUAUGAACUCAGCAGUCUGUGCGUGUGUCUGUAUGAACUCAGCAGUCUGUGCGUGUGUCUGUAUGAACUCAGCAGUCUGUGUGUGUGUGUAUGGACUCAUCAGUCUGUGUAUGUAUGGACUCAGCAGUCUGUGUGUGUGUGUGUGUGUGUGUGUAUGGACAUAGCAGUCUGUGUGUGUGUGUGUAUGUGUGUGUAUGGACUCAUCAGUCUGUGUGUGUGUGCAUGGACUCAGCAGUCUGUGUGUGUGUGUGUGUGUGUGUAUGGACUCAGCAGUGUGUGUGUGUGUGUAUGGACAUAGCAGUCUGUGUGUGUGUGUGUGGACUCAGCAGUCAAUGUGUCUGUGUUUGGACUGUAUCAAGGGAAAUAUGUUUGUUUUUUUAAUAAUCCUUGGUGGAAAAUAAUGAAUUCUCCACCAGGGAUUAUUAAAAAAAAACAAAAAACACAUUGUGUCGGGGCGGGGCUUAACAUGCGGCAGGAGCGGGGUCAAACUACGGCGAGGACAGGGUUAAAUGUGCCCCCCUACUUUUGUCCCUGGCCCACCAUGUGCCCCCCUAAAUAUUAAUCCUAGAAACGCCACUGACAGUGAUAUCUUCUUCAAUUUAUGUUGUAUCAAUGAUAUGUAUACAAUAUAAAAAACAAUAUACUAUAAGAUCAUAAAUGAUGGUCUUAUGUGUCAAGUUGUUUCCUCCAUUCCAUAAGAGAGUAAAAUGGAGAACCAUAGUGCUUACUGUAUACAAUACUUUAAUAAAAGUUUUGAAUUAAAAAGCACUCACAAUUUGAAGAUCUACAACGAGUGUAUAAUGGAAAUGCUUGUGAUGAGAGAUGGUUGAUGGUUUAUUGUAGUGGUUCUGGUGUCUAUAGCCUGUCCCUGUAGGCUGAGCACUGUAAAUGCUACCUUUUCAUAGAAAAGGCAGUGUUUACAUUGCUGCCUAGGCACAUCUCUAGUGACAGUCUCUCAGACGGCCACUAGAGAUGCUUUCUAGUCCAGUGCUGCACAGUGUGCAGCACCUAUGUUUAGCAUCUAGACUCUCUGCAUGGAGGUCCUGAACGCUCCCCGUACAGAUGCAUUGAUGCAAUGUAUCUCUAUGAGGAGAUACUGAUUGGUGCGGUGAAGCACUGCGUUUUGCCACAAAUGCGCAAUAGCCUCCCAAUGCUUUCCUAUGGGAGAUCAUCCAGUUGUCGGCCAAAGUGAAGAGCACACUCUCGUUACUACAAAAUGAGCAAGAUAACAUAAUUUUUUUACUGCUGUGCAAUAGCAUACAUUCACAAUUUCAAUCCAAAUGACCAAACAUUUCUUAAUAUAUCAAGGUAGUUGGACUGAAACAUUGAUUAUAUGCAAAUGCACGUCUGCUUACAAUAAAUCUGCGCUGCUUUAUUUUGAAGCCCUUUAAGUGCUUUCUUUCAUGUUUGAGUGAUCAUUUUUUUUUUUAAGUUUUUUUUUCCUACUUCCAUAUUUGCACACUAUGCUGGCGCGAUGCAUUAUGGGGAUGGUAUAUCAUUUUUUUCCAGGGCUGCUUUUCAUUCCUAGUCUGGUCCUGGUCGCUGUCAGAAAUGGAAACAUAUUGCAAGCGAUCCGAUACAUACGAUCGAAACCAAGUUAGCGGACGAACACCAAUACCCGAGUUUUUGAGCAUGUGCAGUAGAAUGUCGUGGUACACUGUGUCAAAGGACUUUGCAAAAUCAUGGAAAAUAGCUCCAGUUAGGUGUUCUUGUUCCAUGCCAGUUUGGAUGUCAUUGCAAACUUUCAAGAAGGCAGUUGUAGUGGAGUGAUUCAGGCGAAAACCCUGAUGGAUCAGGGGUCAGAUAGUUUGAUUGUUGGUAAUGCUCACAUAGUUGCGUAUGGACACAUUUUUCUAAGCUUUUGGACAAUACUGUGAGAAAUUAUAUUGGGCGAUAGUUAGAAACCAAAGUAGUGUCACCACUUUUAUGGAUUGACACUACUCUUGCUGUUUUCCAAAGUUUGGGUAUGUGUCCAGACACCGGAUUCAUUAAUUACAGUUGUGACAGGUUUAGCAAUUGCCAGCGCACUGAGCUUCAACAGCAUUGCUGGGAUUUGAUCAGGUCCAUACUGGUUUUUCAUUUUUAGAUUAUUAAGGUGUUUUUUAAUGAUACUACCAAAACCAACAGUUAACACUGUUAAAUGAAGAUAGUCUGCCUUUGGCUUUAAGAUUCCUGUUUGCAGUUCACCCAUGCAGUUUGUUGAAAAUCUUAGUUUUGUUACAUUAAUUAGUGAUAUAAUUAGAGACAAAAAUAUGGGCAUUUCUUUAGGCAGAGUGGAAGGCCCCUUUUUAGUGCCACCUUUCAGUUAUUUUGGACUGUCUCCUCUUGGUUUAAAAGAGAAGGGUUUUUACAGGUUUAUACAUCACUUCACAUACCCAGAUUGUGCAUCUUGAAAUGAUGAGGUUGAUGCCUCUAUCAUUUCAGUUUCAUAUACUACCUUUGAGGAUGACAGUGUGGUCAAGGUGCUCUUAUAGUUAAAAGUGACAUAGAAGCAGCGUUUAGGCUCUUACCUACUCAUCCAUGCAGAUUGUUUUGAAUCCUUAGGAUUCCAAUUUGAAGGAAAACACUACUUUUACAAGUGUAUGCCUAUGGGCUGUACUGCCUUUUGUUUGUUUUUAUUUUGAGAAUUUUGCUGGUUUUCUAGAGUCCUCAAGCAAGUUUCAGGUUUAUUUGGAUAAUUAUCUAUUUAUGGGGAAAGCAGGAUCUUUUGAUUGUAUACAUUUGUUGCAGUGUUUUAUGCUUAUUUCUAAACAAUUCGGUAUACCUUUGGCUAAGGAGAAAAAUAUUUGGCCUACUACAUGCUUACAGUUUUUGGGGAUUAUCAUUGACUCUGAGAAAAUUGAAUUCUGUUUACCCGAGGAUAAAAUUAACAAGUUGAGACAAGACAUUUGCUAUUUAUUAAAGUGAUACUGUAGUUCAAGGAAUACAAAGCUGUAUGUUACUUGGCACUGGGUCGAGAUCCGCCCCUACUCCAUCCCACAAAGAGUGGGGUCUAAUGCGCAUGCGCUGUGAAUGCCACGCGCAUUAGACCUCUCCUCCCCAUAGGAAAGCAUUGAAAUAAUGAUUUCCUAUGAGGAUAAAUCAGACGCUGGAGGUCCAAAAAAAGUCCAAAAGUCCGUUAUUAUUCUGGAAGCGCCCCCAGUGGCUGUCUGGUACCUCUAACUAUUAACAAAACAACCCUCUAACUAUUAACAAAACAACAGUUAAACAGUUACAGUCUGUUUUGGGUUUGUUAACUUUUGCAUCAAGAAUAAUGCCUACGGUCAGAGUCUUUUGCAGGCAGAGUGUUGACCAGGUUUAAAAAUCCAUAUCACCACAUUCAUGUAUGCAGUCCUAUGAAAGAAGAUUUACAGGUUUCAAAUGCAUUUUUGAAAAACCUUAGCGGUUCUACUUUGUUGCAAAGCAGAUUUGUAUUCAAUCAGGAAUCAGGAAUUGGAUAUUUUUACCAAUGCAGCUCUUUCACGGGGUUUCGUUAUUCAUCUUCAAGGUAAAUGGGUGGCUGUAGGAUGGCCUCAAACAUGGAUUGAAAAGGGAGAAGCUAGAAUAAUAACCCUUUUAGAAUUAAUCCCGAUAAUUGUUGCACUUAAGUUGUGGAAGCUGAAUUAGCUAAUAGAAGAAUCAUUUUUCUUUGUGACAAUUUUGGAGUUGUUUGGGUAAUCAAUUCUUUGCGAACAAAAACUUCUCUGGUAAUUAUUUACUAAGGAGAUUGGUCUUUAUUUGCCUGAUGCACAACAUUUGUGUUAAAGUUAAACUAUUCUCAUGGCUGAUAUCUUGUCCUGUUUUGAUUUUAAGUCUUCCAGGUCCCUUGCACCAUUAGCAGAGGAGUUUGGAAUGAAAUUGCCAGAACACAACUGUGUUAUGCCGUAACCCCGCCCCCGUCUGACGCGGCUCUGACGGUAUUUAGGGAGACCACGCCAGAGAGAGGACGUUUGGUGAUUGUGUGUGAGCUAAUGUGUGAG
rnacentral:lncRNA from 1 species